GCGGGGGGAGGGGAGGCCGUUUCCACGCCGACGGGAGCGUCCGCAUCCCCGCUUGGAAGCGUUUUCAACCGGUCCGGGGUGUAGAAGGAGGAGGAGUCUAAAGCAACUGGGCCAGCGGGGGAGGAGGGGGUGCCGCGGUCUGAUUGGCCCAGAGCCGGGGAGGUGGAGGCCACCCGGACGGGCUCGGCCCAGUAGACCAGGCCGUCAGAGCCCAGCUCCAGACAGAUGGCGUCCACGUCGCCCAGCUCGCUGUCCGGCGACGAGCCGUCCAGCGAGGUCUCAAACACCUCAUCCAGGCUCGCCACGGCGAUGGGGCCAGUCAGCCUAUGGGUGAGGGUCACCCCGCCGCCCCCCGUGUACACAGCCAGAUCCGGGUCAUCUAUGUGCGUUUCCAGAAGUCCAAGGACCCCACCUGGAGGAUCACUUCCUGCGGCACCUCCUUCAGAAGGUUCUGCGCUCUCCACUGCGUCGAUGUCCGUCUCCAGGACUUCCUGGAGUCUCCUGGACUGUUUGCCUUCAACGGCGAGUGUCUCAAAAUGAGUUGCAAAAUCAGUGCUCUCUAGCUCAUCUAGAUCCGUCUCCAACAGUCCGCCAUAUCGUCCAUGGGCGCUGGGUCUCUGGCUUCGGACUCCCCAGCCGGGGCCCCAGCGAGGGUCCAAGAGGCCCUCCCCACCUCAUCUAGGUUAGUUUCCACCAAGUGAUGACCUGAUCUUCCAGGACGUUCUCCUACCCCGUGUUUUGCGUCGGCAGCUGUUCCCGUGCCCUGAGGAAGCCCUCCAGACCCUGGGAAGGACAUCUCGGCUGCAUCGAUGUCCGUCUCCACCAUGAGAGGUAACGAUCCCGCCUUCAUCUGCGUUAUCUCGGCGCCACCAAACGGAGGGUAACGCCCCGACCUGGUCCGGAACGCGUCCCCGGGCCGGACCCCGGCCGUAUCCUGAACCGUGUCACGGGGCCUCUCGCCGCUCUGCUCCACACCCCCGCCACUGCUGCUGUGAGGCCCCAGAGAGCCGCACUCUGGGCCCCCAGCCAUGGGGUCCGUCCUCCCCGGGACCACAUGUCUGACAGGGGAGCCUGGAGAGACAGGGGGGCCUGGAGAGACAGGGGGGCCUGGAGAGACAAGGUGGCCUGGAGAGACAGGGGGGCCUGGAGAGACAAGGUGGCCUGGAGAGACAGGGGGGCCUGGAGAGACAGGGAGGCCUGGGGAGCCAAGGCCCUCCAGGACAGGAUCGUUCGUUGUCACGUCGUCCGGACGCAUUGCGGAGACUGCAGAGCGCUGGCGGGCCGGAGACACACUGGACUCCCCAGGAGGACGGAGGCCAGGUCUGGAGGCCGCCGGGGGAACACAAGACCCAGCUGGACUCACCGCUCCCUCUGGAGCUCCAGUCUGAGCACUGCCGCUCCCUCUGUGUGGCUCCUCCCCUAAAGAACCGCUCCCUCUGACUGGCUCCUCCCCCAAAGUACCGCUCCCUCUGACUGGCUCCUCCCCUAAAGAAUCGCUCCCUCUGUGUGGCUCCUCCCCCAAAGAACUGCUCC
ensembl:lncRNA